rnacentral:tRNA from 2 species
UAUAUUUUAGUGUAAGAAGCACAAUAAUUUUUGAUAUUAUUAGAUUUAGUUUGAUUCUAAAAAAUAUAA